AGCGAACGCUGGCGGCAGGCCUAACACAUGCAAGUCGAACGAAGUCUUCGGACUUAGUGGCGGACGGGUGAGUAACACGUGGGAACGUGCCUUUAGGUUCGGAAUAACUCAGGGAAACUUGUGCUAAUACCGAAUGUGCCCUUCGGGGGAAAGAUUUAUCGCCUUUAGAGCGGCCCGCGUCUGAUUAGCUAGUUGGGGGGGUAAAGGCUCACCAAGGCGACGAUCAGUAGCUGGUCUGAGAGGAUGAUCAGCCACAUUGGGACUGAGACACGGCCCAAACUCCUACGGGAGGCAGCAGUGGGGAAUCUUGCGCAAUGGGCGAAAGCCUGACGCAGCCAUGCCGCGUGAAUGAUGAAGGUCUUAGGAUUGUAAAAUUCUUUCACCGGGGACGAUAAUGACGGUACCCGGAGAAGAAGCCCCGGCUAACUUCGUGCCAGCCGCCGCGGUAACAC
rnacentral:rRNA from 1 species